rnacentral:rRNA from 1 species
GGAAGGAUCAUUAAAAGUAUAUAGUUAUACAUUCUGUGUAUCGACUAAAUAUACCCAUUCUGAGUACCUUGCCUGUUGCUUCCAUGGAGCCUGACACUUGUCACUCUGGGGAUUUACAUCCCGAGGGAGCCUCCGUGGAAGGUAAUCAAUUAACUCUUGAAUCCAAUGUCAUCUGUCUGAUAAUGUUUAUAACAAAUGUUAAAACUUUCAACAACGGAUCUCUUGGUUCUCGCAUCGAUGAAGAACGCAGCGAAAUGCGAUAAGUAGUGUGAAUUGCAGAAUUCAGUGAAUCAUCGAAUCUUUGAACGCACAUUGCGCCUCCUGGUAUUCCGGGAGGCAUGCCUGUUCGAGCGUCAUUAAAUACCACUCAAGCUCUUCUGCUUGGUCAUGGAAGAAGAGUAUGCUUGCAUCCUCUCUUCUGAAAUCGAAUGGCGGACUGCCUCAUGUGCCUCGCGUAGUAAGUUCAUCUUUUCGCUUGGAGUGUGAGAUAGUCUCGCCAUCAACCCCCAUACUUCUAAGGUUGACCUCGGAUCAGGUAGGGAUACCCGCUGAACUUAAGCAUAUCAAUAAGCGGAGGAAAAGAAACCAACAGGGAUUGCCUCAGUAACUGCGAGUGAAGCGGCAAAAGCUCAAAUUUGAAAUCUGGCGUCUCUGACGUCCGAAUUGUAAUUUGGAGAGGCAACUUCGGUGAUGGCGCCGUCCUAAGUUCCUUGGAACAGGAUGACACAGAGGGUGAGAUCCCCGUACCUGGGUGGCUGUCCAUCGCCAUGUGAAGUGUCUUCGACGAGUCGAGUUGUUUGGGAAUGCAGCUCAAAAUGGGUGGUAAAUUUCAUCUAAAGCUAAAUAUUGGCGAGAGACCGAUAGCGCACAAGUAGAGUGAUCGAAAGAUGAAAAGCACUUUGAAAAGAGAGUUAAAAAGUACGUGAAAUUGUUGAAAGGG